rnacentral:lncRNA from 10 species
UGUGUUUAAAAGAAAUGGGGCAUAAACUCAAUCUGCAGAAAGGAUUGCUGGCUGCUUUUCAUCAAUGUCUUCCUCUAAAGGGUUAUUCAUAAAGGAGAAUUAAUUAUAUUAAGCACACAGGAAAAAUCAGCCUUGAACAUAUACACAUAAUUGACUAACUAGCUGAACAUGUAGAAGCAGAAAACAGGCAAGGAUACAAGGAAAUGCUGAAGAAGCAUUCCUGAAAUACAGGUUUUGUUUUUGUUAUGAAAAGUCACCAGUACAGAUUCCCACCUGUUAAUCAGUAAAGCAGGGCAACGACCUUGUCAACAAAGCAAAGGAUUCAAAAAGAAAGAGCCAACCUUCAACUAUCCAUGUAAAUGGAAGACAAAACUACUGAAGAUAAAAUUGAUACCCCCAAGAAAAUUCCAAAUCUACACUGAAAUCAACUACUUUCAUUCCCUAAGUAUUUUUCAUAGAAAUUCCAAGUUAUGUAUUUCAUUACACUACUCUUACCAAAUAAAGAAUCAUAUCAGCAUGUAUUACUUUACGAGUAGAGUCUCAAUUUCUUCAAGACAUAUACUGAGAAAGAAAGGCAACUUAACAACAGGAGGUUCUAAGAGAAACUCUAUCUGAUCCUCAGAAGAAAUCUGGAUUACUUCUGGCCUCGGGAAGUCCUACCAAGUUUCUAGAAGGAGGUGCAGUGAAUCAGGUUUUCAAUCAACGGACCUACGCUGUAUUUGAAAUGAUCAGUAAGGCUGAAUGAAGCUAACUAUGCAACUACAAAAAGUAAGAGUUUUCUUUUCUUUUUUUAAAAAAAGUUCUCUGUAUUGCUGUUGACUACCAUAAUAAAGUAUUGAGAUGGUUUAAAAAUGAAUGAAA